CCUACGGGGGGCAGCAGUCGAGAAUCAUUCACAAUGGGGGAAACCCUGAUGGUGCGACGCCGCGUGGGGGAAUGAAGGUCUUCGGAUUGUAAACCCCUGUCAUGUGGGAGCAAAUUAAAAAGAUCGUACCACACGAGGAAGAGACGGCUAACUCUGUGCCAGCAGCCGCGGUAAUACAGAGGUCUCAAGCGUUGUUCGGAAUCACUGGGCGUAAAGCGUGCGUAGGCUGUUUCGUAAGUCGUGUGUGAAAGGCGCGGGCUCAACCCGCGGACGGCACAUGAUACUGCGAGACUAGAGUAAUGGAGGGGGAACCGGAAUUCUCGGUGUAGCAGUGAAAUGCGUAGAUAUCGAGAGGAACACUCGUGGCGAAGGCGGGUUCCUGGACAUUAACUGACGCUGCGCCACGAAGGCCAGGGGAGCGAAAGGGAUUAGAUACCCUUGUAGUC
rnacentral:rRNA from 1 species